GACGAACGCUGGCGGCGUGCUUAACACAUGCAAGUCGAACGGAAAGGCCCUGCUUUUGUGGGGUGCUCGAGUGGCGAACGGGUGAGUAACACGUGAGUAACCUGCCCUUGACUUUGGGAUAACUUCAGGAAACUGGGGCUAAUACCGGAUAGGAGCUCCUGCUGCAUGGUGGGGGUUGGAAAGUUUCGGCGGUUGGGGAUGGACUCGCGGCUUAUCAGCUAGUUGGUGGGGUAGUGGCUUACCAAGGCUUUGACGGGUAGCCGGCCUGAGAGGGUGACCGGCCACACUGGAACUGAGACACGGUCCAGACUCCUACGGGAGGCAGGAGUGGGGAAUCGUCCGCAAUGGGCGAAAGCGUGAAGGAGCACCGCCGCGUGAGUGAUGAAGGUCUUCGGAGCGUAAAACUCUGUUAUUAGGGAAGAACAAAUGUGUAAGUAACUAUGCACGUCUUGACGGUACCUAAUCAGAAAGCCACGGCUAACUACGUG
rnacentral:rRNA from 1 species